UUGACUGCAGUAGCUUCUAUUCUAUGCGCCUUAUAAUCCGGUGCGCCUUAUAGUGCGGAAAAUACGGGUAAGUCAGAAAAGAGAAUAAUUUGCAAAAAUUUGCUUUUUAAGUUUUGCUGGUAAUUAAUUGUAUUGCCUUUUUUAUUAUUAUUAUUAUAGACUUCUUAUUUUCAAAUAAAAACUAAAAUAGGAUCCUCUGGAAUCCGAGCUUUAAAAUGUGACAUUUAAAAGAUGCAUGUUUAAGGCUCUUAUUGUGAAAGGUUGAAGGAAGUGCGCCAUAUAUUACCAAGCGAGGCAAACAUUGCGUCGGUUAGAAUGGGUCAGUAACACCAUCACCAUGGACACGACAGCCGGAUCAUCCCACCUCCUAACUUUAAAGGAACACGACCCCUUUUCUCUGACCACUACAAAAACCUCGUUACCAGGAUGUAAACAGUCCUGCGAAGUUCUCAACUUCCUGCCAGGAGUCCAACAUAUCCGCUGUUCUGUGAAGGCUACAGGGGCUUGAUAGAGAACAUCGGUGAACAGCAUCAGGAAGACCAAGGAGCACAGCAGACAGCCGCCCAGUCUUCCAUGGUUCUCCUCCAGGCAACUGGCAGAACAUACACACAAUGUUCUCUUACAUGAACAGAUCACAGUGAAACUACACCGUUAGAGUACGUCACGGGCAGUUCACCCUCUCUCCAGGGCUCACC